AGUGUAGGCGGGAUCGUAAGUUAGGAGUUUAAUACAUGGGCUUAACCCAUGAGCUGCUUUUAAUACUGCGGUUCUUGAGUAUGGGAGAGGGCGAUGGAAUUCCAGGUGUAGCGGUGGAAUGCGUAGAAAUCUGGAAGAACACCAGUAGCGAAGGCGGUCGCCUGGCCCAAUACUGACGCUGAUGCUCGAAAGCUAGGGGAGCAAACAGGAUUAGAUACCCUGGUAGCCCUAGCCGUAAACGAUGGACACUAGUUGCUGGAGGAGUCAAUCCUUUCGGUGACGAAGCUAACGCAUUAAGUGUCCCGCCUGGGGAGUACGUUCGCAAGGAUGAA
rnacentral:rRNA from 1 species